rnacentral:lncRNA from 1 species
CCUACACUAGUCAUAUGUGAGAAGAUUGAUGUAGAAAUGAAACGAAUGCUCACAUAUAUGUAUCACAAAGAACGCAAUUUCUAGAGUUAAGAAGCAUGUUUAGAUAUGAUCUCAUGAAUGGAAUGCUACUACUUAGAUGCGAGAACCAGUGACACCAUAUGCUCAUACCAAAUUCAAACUCCACAAAUUGAAACACAUAACAUUCAAGAUAGAAGUUAAGGGUUGUAAUGGGGCUUGGGGUGUUGGUUAACAAGGAAAGGAUAAGGAAAACAAACGUUCUUCAAGCAAUAGUAAGCAAAGCAAUGAAAUUGAGACUUAGAAUUCACUUAGAGUGCAGAAAUUAACUUUAAAACACAAGGGGAAGAUUUAAACAACUCCUUAGGGCCGAAUUCAUUGUUUUGGACCCUUACUUCAACAAACAAUACUUUGGAACUCUUUUUCUCACUUUUCAUAUUUUUUUUUUCUUCAUUUUUUCUUUUUCCACGAAUUUUUUUUCUUUUCUUUUUUUUUUCUUUUCUUUCCACACGUGCCUAUGGCACACAAAAUCACAAAAGAAAUACUUCCCCCACACUAGUUUUCUGCCAACAUAAAUCAAAAGGAAUUCAAUUUGAAUCAUGCUUUACUAUGCUUUAAGAACAAGGGUUUGGAUGGUCCUAAACUAGGCUAGGUGAGGAAAACAUGGGUUAACAAAUAACGAAGGCUAACAAGGCUCAAUGGGGUUAAAACCUACAAAUCACAAUGACAUAGGGCACACGGCUUUUUGGCUAAGGUGGUGGUCACUACACAACUUCAUCUUGAAUAUGUGUUAUGCAAAUCAAUAACAUGCUUUGAAUGAAAUGGGCAAUGAGUUCUAGCAUUUGGAACUAAAUGAUGAAACGCCUUCUA